rnacentral:rRNA from 1 species
GAUGAACGCUGGCGGCGUGCCUAAUACAUGCAAGUCGAGCGAACAGAUGAGGAGCUUGCUCCUCUGACGUUAGCGGCGGACGGGUGAGUAACACGUGGAUAACCUACCUAUAAGACUGGGAUAACUUCGGGAAACCGGAGCUAAUACCGGAUAAUAUAUUGAACCGCAUGGUUCAAUAGUGAAAGACGGUUUUGCUGUCACUUAUAGAUGGAUCCGCGCCGCAUUAGCUAGUUGGUAAGGUAACGGCUUACCAAGGCAACGAUGCGUAGCCGACCUGAGAGGGUGAUCGGCCACACUGGAACUGAGACACGGUCCAGACUCCUACGGGAGGCAGCAGUAGGGAAUCUUCCGCAAUGGGCGAAAGCUUGACGGAGCAACGCCGCGUGAGUGAUGAAGGUCUUCGGAUCGUAAGACUCUGUUAUUAGGGAAGAACAAAUGUGUAAGUAACUAUGCACGUCUUGACGGUACCUAAUCAGAAAGCCACGGCUAACUACGUG